rnacentral:rRNA from 1 species
GACAUGGCUCAGAUUGAACGCUGGCGGCAGGCCUAACACAUGCAAGUCGAACGGUAACAGGAAGAAGCUUGCUUCUUUGCUGACGAGUGGCGGACGGGUGAGUAAUGUCUGGGAAACUGCCUGAUGGAGGGGGGAUAACUACUGGAAACGGUAGCUAAUACCGCAUAACGUCGCAAGACCAAAGAGGGGGGACCUUCGGGCCUCUUGCCAUCGGAUGUGCCCAGAUGGGAUUAGCUAGUAGGUGGGG